ensembl:lncRNA
CUAACAGUUUUGUCAAGAGAACACAUUGGUAAUAGCAAACACCCUUUUCCAGAAACCCAAGAGAUGACUCUACACAUGGACAUUUCUAAAUGGUCAAUAAUGAAAUUAUAUUGAUUGUGUUCUUUGCAACUGACUCAUUUGAAAAGACCCUGAUGCUGGGAAUGAUUGAAGGUGGGAGAAGAAGGGGACGACAGAGGAUUAGACAGUUGGAUGGCAUCAUCGACUCAAUGGACAUGAGUUUAAGUAAACUCUUGGAGUUGGUGAUGGACAAGGGAGGCUUGGCAUGCUGCAGUCCAUGGGGUUGCAAAGAGUUGGACAUGACUGAGCAACUGAACUGAACUGAUGGGACCAGGUGCCAUGAUCUUAGUUUUCUGAAUGUUGAAUUUUUUAAGUUGCCAUUAUCUUCCUUACUUCCACCAUAGUUUGGCCUCAGGUCAAGCAACAGGAACCAGAGAUCAAAUUGCCAACAUCUGUUGGAUCAUCAAAAAAGCAAGAGAGUUCCAGAAAAACAUCUGCUUUGUUGACUAUGCCAAAGCCUUUGACUGUGUUGAUCACAAUAAACUGGAAAAUUCUGAAAGAGAUGGGAAUACCAGACCACCUGACCUGCCUCUUGAGAAAUCUAUAUGCAGGUCAGGAAGCAACAGUUAGAAUUGGACAUGGAACAACAGCCUGGUUCCAAAUAGGAAAAGGAGUACGUGAAGGCUGUAUAUUGUCACCAUGCUUAUUUAAUUUCUCUGCAGAGUACAUUAUGAGAAACUCUGGCCUGGAUGAAACACAAGCUAGAAUUAAGAUUGCUGGAGAAAUGUUAAUAACCUCAGAUAUGCAGAUGACACCAGCCUUAUAGCAGAAAGUGAAGAACUAAAGAGCCUAUUGAUGAAAGUGAAAGAGGAGAGUGAAAAGGUUGGCUUAAAGCUCAACAUUCAGAAAACUAAGAUCAUGGCAUCUGGUCCCAUCAAUUCAUGGCAAAUAGAUACGUAAACAGUGACAGGCUAUUUUGGGGGGCUCUGAAAUCACUGCACAUGGUGACUGCAGCCAUGAAAUUAAAAGAUGCUUACUCCUUGGAAGGAAAGUUAUGACCAACGCAGACAGCAUAUUAAAAAGCAUCUAGUCAAGGCUAUGGUUUUUCCAGUAGUCAUAUAUGGAUGUGAGAGUUGGAGUAUAAAGAAAGCUGAGCGCCGAAGAAUUGAUGCUUUUGAACUGUGGUGUUGAAGAAGACUCUUGAGAGUCCCUUGGACUGCAAGGAGAUCUAACCAGUCCAUCCUAAAGGAGAUCAGUCCUGGGUGUUCAUUGGAAGGACUAAUGUUGAAGCUGAAACUCCAGUACUUUGGCCACCUGAUGCGAAGAGCUGACUCAUUUGAAAAGACCCUGAUGCUGGGAAAGAUUGAGGGCGGGAGGAGAAGGGGAUGACAGAAGAUGAGAUAGUUGGAUGGUAUCACUGACUCAGUGGACAUGAGCUUGAGUAGGCUCCAUGAGUUGGUGAUGAACAGGGAGGCCUGGCGUGCUGCAGUCCAUGGGGUUGCAAAGAGUUGGACAC